AGCUUGCUUUCUUUGCUGGCGACCGGCGCACGGGUGAGUAACACGUAUCCAACCUACCCUUUACUCGGGGAUAGCCUUUCGAAGGAAAGAUUAAUACCCGAUAGCAUAAUGAUUCCGCAUGGUUUCAUUAUUAAAGGAUUCCGGUAAAGGAUGGGGAUGCGUUCCAUUAGGUUGUUGGCGGGGUAACGGCCCACCAAGCCUUCGAUGGAUAGGGGUUCUGAGAGGAAGGUCCCCCACAUUGGAACUGAGACACGGUCCAAACUCCUACGGGAGGCAGCAUG
rnacentral:rRNA from 1 species